rnacentral:sRNA from 2 species
GAAAAGCUUAAAUCCACACACGUGUCGACACGAUGACCUGGGUGCCUUGGGCUUUAUGCCUCUGGUUGGUCAUUGGGAUACGUGGAGGCCAAACC